UACGUAGGGUGCAAGCGUUGUCCGGAAUUAUUGGGCGUAAAGAGCUUGUAGGCGGUUUGUCGCGUCUGCUGUGAAAUUUCGGGGCUCAACCCCGAACUUGCAGUGGGUACGGGCAGACUAGAGGAUGCGAGGGGUCUGCGGAACUCAUAGUGUAGCGGUAAAAUGCGUUGAUAUUAUGGGGAACACCAAAAGCGAAGGCAGCAGACUGGAGCACUCCUGACACUGAAACAAGAAAGCGUGGGUCGCGAAUGGG
rnacentral:rRNA from 1 species